rnacentral:rRNA from 1 species
UUUUGUAUAAUGGGUCAGCGACUUACAUUUUGUAGCGAGGUUAAGCGAAUAGCGGAGCCGUAGGGAAACCGAGUGUUAACUGCGCGUUUAGUUGCAAGGUGUAGACCCGAAACCCGGUGAUCUAGCCAUGGGCAGGUUGAAGGUUGAGUAACAUCAACUGGAGGACCGAACCGACUAAUGUUGAAAAAUUAGCGGAUGACUUGUGGCUGGGGGUGAAAGGCCAAUCAAACCGGGAGAUAUCUGGUUCUCCUCGAAAGCUAUUUAGGUAGCGCCUCGAGCGAAUACCAUUGGGGGUAGAGCACUGUUAAGGCUAGGGGGUCAUCCCGACUUACCAACCCUUUGCAAACUCCGAAUACCAAUGAGUACUACUCGGGAGACAGACGGCGGGUGCUAACGUCCGUCGUCAAAAGGGAAACAACCCAGACCGUCAGCUAAGGUCCCAAAGUACUAGCUAAGUGGGAAACGAUGUGGGAAGGCUUAGACAGCUAGGAUGUUGGCUUAGAAGCAGCCAUCAUUUAAAGAAAGCGUAAUAGCUCACUAGUCGAGUCGGCCUGCGCGGAAGAUGUAACGGGGCUAAGCUAGUCACCGAAGCUACGGGUGCACAGUUUACUGUGCGCGGUAGAGGAGCGUUCUGUAAGCCGUUGAAGGUGAAGGGGUAACCCACGCUGGAGGUAUCAGAAGUGCGAAUGCUGACAUGAGUAACGAUAAAGGGGGUGAAAAACCCCCUCGCCGAAAGACCAAGGGUUCCUGUCCAACGUUAAUCGGGGCAGGGUGAGUCGACCCCUAAGGUGAGGCCGAAAGGCGUAAUCGAUGGGAAACAGAUUAAUAUUUCUGUACUUCCGCUAACUGCGAUGGAGAGACGGAGAAGGCUAGGCUAGCGCGGCGUUGGUAGUCCGCGUUUAAGGUGGUAGGUGGUGUUCUUAGG